rnacentral:misc_RNA from 1 species
AAAAUAUUCUUCUUUUUUUUUUAGUCAGGUGAUGUGGCAGCUCAAAGAGUUGUCAUUUCACUCUCAUUAAACUGCUCAAACCCCUUGAACCAGGACCUGAUGAAUCAGUUCACCAUUUGUUCAGCCAGUUCAAUGGGUAAAUGUUGGUUUUCUUAGAAAAUGGGUUUAUCAACUGGACUGGAUCGACCAGCAGUUUUGGUCUGGUUCUGACAAUCGUGCAUCGUAGACUAUACAAUGAAGAUGGGGUCUUAACUCUUAAGUCUAUUGAAUAUUUUGUGCACCCAAUAUAAUGACAUUAAAUCAACCAAUUAAAUUAUAUUCUGAUAAAUUUAUCAAAUUCUCCAACUACUUAUUGUUUAUCUUGCAGGUAAUUGAUGUCCUGGAAUUUAUCCCUUCCCAUGUGGCGGUGGUGUUUGAUCAUGAUG